GGCCUUAUGGUCUAGUAGUAUGAUUCCUUGUUUGGGCUUUAAGUACCAACUCUCGAGGAGGUCCUGGGUUCAACUCCCAGUGAGGCCC